rnacentral:misc_RNA from 1 species
GAUGAAGAACGUAGCGAAAUGCGAUAAGUAAUGCGAAUUGCAGAAUUCAGUGAGUCAUCGAAUCUUUGAACGCACAUUGCGCCCUGUGGUAUUCCGCAGGGCAUGCCUGUUCGAGCGUCAUUUCAACCCUCAGGGCCCGCCUGCUUCGGCAGGCGCGGCGCUGGUGUUGGGGAUCGGCCUAACCGCCGUCCCCCAAAUACAGUGGCGGUCUCGCUGCAGCCUCCCCUGCGUAGUAGCAACACUCGCAUGCGGAGCGCGGCGCGGCCACGCCGUAAAACCCCCGACUUUCUGAACGUUGACCUCGGAUCAGGUAGGAAUACCCGCUGAACUUAAGCAUAUCAAUAAGCGGAGGA